rnacentral:tRNA from 1 species
GGGGGUCUAGCUCAGUGGUAGAGCAUGUGCUUGGUGUGCUCAAGGUCCUGGGUUCAAUCCCCAGUGCCUCCG